ACGAACGCUGGCGGCGUGCUUAACACAUGCCAGUCGAACGGUGAAGCGCUUUCCUUUUUGGUUGGUGUGGAUGAGUGGCGAACGGGUGAGUAACACGUGAGUAACCUGCCCCCUUCUUCUGGAUAACCGCAUGAAAGUGUGGCUAAUACGGGAUAUUCUGCGCCUGCUGCAUGGUGGGUGUGGGAAAGAUUGUGCCUUUGGGUGUUUUCGGUGGGGGAUGGGCUCGCGGCCUAUCAGCUUGUUGGUGGGGUGAUGGCCUACCAAGGCGGUGACGGGUAGCCGGCCUGAGAGGGUGGACGGUCACACUGGGACUGAGACACGGCCCAGACUCCUACGGGAGGCAGCAGUGGGGAAUAUUGCACAAUGGGCGCAAGCCUGAUGCAGCGACGCCGCGUGAGGGAUGGAGGCCUUCGGGUUGUGAACCUCUUUCGCCAGUGAAGCAGGCCUGCUCCUUGUGGGUGGGUUGACGGUAGCUGGAUAAGAAGCGCCGGCUAACUACGUG
rnacentral:rRNA from 1 species